CUCCCAGAGGCGGAAACCCAAAAUGGUGCUGGUCGAGGGGAGAGGCUGCUGCAGUCCAUUAGAAAAGAAAAACUACAACAUCAGUUCAUCAACGGGUCCCUUCCACAUGCAGACUCCCUCUGCAGUCUCACUUCAGACUGGCUUUGGGCCGAGAAACACAAGGACAUGUUUAGCGGUGAAUACUGGCGUUCAGAAAAUACCGGAUCUCGUUGCUAGCGGACGGCGUCAGGGUGUCGUGUGGCGCGUGAGUAAACACGAAGUAGCUUUCAGUUACAUGAAUGACGGCUGGACGGCAAGUGUAGACUUUCAGCGACCUCGGGAGCUGGCAGCCAUGUGA
ensembl:lncRNA